GAAUAUUGGUCAAUGGGCGAGAGCCUGAACCAGCCAUGCCGCGUGCAGGAUGACGGCCUUCUGGGUUGUAAACUGCUUUUCUACAGGAAGAAAAAGCCCAUGCGUGGGCAAUUGACGGUACUGUAGGAAUAAGCCCCGGCUAACUCCGUGCCAGCAGCCGCGGUAAUACGGGGGGUGCGAGCGUUGUCCGGAGUUAUUGGGUUUAAAGGGUGCGUAGGCGGCCCUUUAAGUCAGUGGUGAAAGCCCGCAGCUCAACUGCGGAACUGCCAUUGAUACUGGAGGGCUUGAGUACGGUUGAAGUAGGCGGAAUUUAUGGUGUAGCGGUGAAAUGCAUAGAUACCAUAAAGAACACCGAUAGCGUAGGCAGCUUACUAAGCCGUAACUGACGCUGAGGCACGAAAGCAUGGGGAGCGAACAGGA
rnacentral:rRNA from 1 species